CGGCAGCCGCAGCCCGGAGCAGGUCCCGGAAAUGUCUUUGCGGGGAGUUUCUGCAUGAUUUACAUGAAGAGCUCCUAGCUUAUGAUCAUCUUUAUCGAGCAGUACAUUUGAAACGUCUCUUAAUAUGUACUUGUAAUGGCUGAAGUAAAGCCUAAAAUCAACAUGCAAUUGAAUCAGGAUAUUAAAGUCUAGCUAAAUGUCUUACAACUUUCUUAUUCUUUCAUAACAACUUUCCAAGAGCAAUAAACAGAAUGAAACAUUAAGAGCAAGAGCAUAAAGAAUGAAACCCGAAAUGUCGACUCUGCCCGUGUAUUCUACUUAGAACAGCGAUUGGUGCAGGCAGCACUGCAGAGCUUUGCCUCGUGGUGGUCACCAGCAGACAAGGACAGGUGCAGUUUUACAAAGCCUUUAUUUAUUUUUUUGGUUUUCUUUAAGUAAAGGAAUUGAAAAGCACAUAGUGUGACAAAACACAGAGGAUGCAUGAAAUAUUCAUUCAGUACCAAAAGAA